UACAGAGACUGCAAGCUGUAUUGGCGGAAGUUCACUGGGCGUAAAGGGUGCGCAGGCGGCCGUGUGUGUUGGGCGUGAAAGCCCGGGGCUUAACCCCGGAAUUGCACCCGAAACUACAUGGCUAGAGCAUUGGAGAGGGUAGCAGAUUCAUGGUGUAGCAGUGAAAUGCGUAGAUAUCAUGAGGAAUACCAGAGGCGAAGGCGGCUACCUGGACAAUUGCUGACGCUCAGGCACGAAAGCGUGGGGAGCAAAAGGG
rnacentral:rRNA from 1 species